rnacentral:rRNA from 1 species
CGGAUGUAGCAAUACAUCAGUGGCAGACGGGUGAGUAACACGUGGGAACCUUCCUCGUUGUACGGGACAACUCAGGGAAACUUGAGCUAAUACCGUAUACGUCCGAGAGGAGAAAGAUUUAUCGCAAUGAGACGGGCCCGCGUCGGAUUAGCUAGUUGGUAGGGUAACGGCCUACCAAGGCGACGAUCCGUAGCUGAUCUGAGAGGAUGAUCAGCCACACUGGGACUGAGACACGGCCCAGACUCCUACGGGAGGCAGCAGUGGGGAAUCUUGGACAAUGGGCGCAAGCCUGAUCCAGCCAUGCCGCGUGAGUGAAGAAGGCCUUAGGGUUGUAAAGCUCUUUUGCCAGGGACGAUAAUGACGGUACCUGGAGAAUAAGCCCCGGCAAACUUCGUGCCAGCAGCCGCGGUAAUACGAAGGGGGCUAGCGUUGUUCGGAUUUACUGGGCGUAAAGCGCACGUAGGCGGGUCGUUAAGUCAGGGGUGAAAUCCCGGANCUCAACUCCGGAACUGCCUUUGAUACUGGCGACCUUGANGCUGGAANANGUUAGUGGAAUUCCCAGUGUANAGGUGAAAUUCNUANAUAUUGGGAAGAACACCNGUGGCGAAAGCGNCUAACUGGUCCANAUCUGACGCUGANGUGCGAAAGCGUGG